UUGCUGAUACACUUUACACGGGUCAUACAAGCAAAGCCACAGACCUGUGUAAUCUACUGCCAGGAGAAAGCUCAAAAGCCAACGAAGAAACACAGUGCACGGGCCGUGUACCACGACCCGUGUAAAUUAUGGAGACCCGUGUAAGUCUCUGCUUGAAGAACUCUUUAAAGAGUAAAAGAACACGGGCUGUGUAAUCAGACUCGUGUAACUAGUAAUGCCCCGUGUAAUAUCCUGUGUCAAUACAAUAUGCAACCAUUCAAGCUCCAGUAAGUUGCAUAGCCUUGGGCCGUGUAGUGAUACACGGAUCGUGUAUUAGCCGACAGCCAGUUUCCUGAUUAGGGUUCCAGCUCCAGUUUUUGCAGAGAGAAGAGACUCCUGAUACCUUAGGGACUCUAAAAACCUAACCGUAGAUCAUUCAAUAUAAAUAGAAUCAGCAGAAAACACAAAAGGAGAUUCGAAAACAGAGAGCUUUUGAUAUUUUUUCACAUACAUACUCUUCACAGCCGUCUUGGAGAAUAAGACCAUUAGCACAAAAAGGAAAUCUUCAGCCGAAGUUCCACAAGUUUAAAGUUGCAGAAAAUCCUCUUCGGUUUUUUUUAUUCUAUUUCUUUAAGCAGACUUUUUUAUGUUCUUUUAUUUUAUUUUCAUUAUGUUUGUUAAACUCACAAUG
rnacentral:misc_RNA from 1 species